rnacentral:rRNA from 1 species
UACGUAGGGGGCAAGCGUUGUCCGGAUUUAUUGGGCGUAAAGAGCGUGUAGGCGGCUAGGUAGGUCCGUUGUGAAAACUCGAGGCUCAACCUCGAGACGUCGAUGGAAACCAUCUAGCUAGAGUCCGGAAGAGGAGAGUGGAAUUCCUGGUGUAGCGGUGAAAUGCGCAGAUAUCAGGAGGAACACCGGUGGCGAAGGCGGCAUCCUGGACCGGCAUUGACGCUGAGGAGCGAAAGCCAGGGGAGCAAACGGG